rnacentral:rRNA from 1 species
GUGCAGCAGGCGCGAACCUUGCAAUGCGCGAAAGCGUGACAAGGUGACUCCGAGUGCUCAUGCGUAAGCAUGAGCUUUCCCGAGUGUAAACAGCUCGGGGAAUAAGGGUCGGGCAAUACCCGUGCCAGCCGCCGCGGUAAUACGGGAGGCCCGAGUGGUGCCCGCGAUUACUGGGCUUAAAGCGUCCGUAGCCGGUCCGGUAAGUCCUUGGUGAAAGCCCCAGGCUUAACCUGGGGAGGUGCCAAGGAUACUGCCGGUCUAGGGAGCGGGAGAGGCGAGGGGUACUCCGGGGGUAGCGGUGAAAUGCGUUGAUCCUCGGGGGACCACCGGUAGCGAAGGCGCCUCGCUGGAACGCGUCCGACGGUGAGGGACGAAGGCCAGGGGAGCGACCCGGAUUAGAUACCCCGUAGU